AGUGGAAAGAAGAAGUACCCACUUCUCACCUGACUGAAAAAUAUCAGUAGGUAAAUGUCACUUAUAACAUCAUAUUUUGAUUUGUGUGAUUUAAUUGGUGGGUGCACUAUGCGCCUACUUUUCUUUUACUAU
rfam:Coprobacillus sp. CAG:698 genomic scaffold, scf69